ACGCUCGACACCUACGGGGGGCAGCAGUGGGGAAUAUUGGGCAAUGGGCGCAAGCCUGACCCAGCAACGCCGCGUGAAGGAAGAAGGCCCUCGGGUUGUAAACUUCUUUUGACAGGGACGAAACAAAUGACGGUACCUGUCGAAUAAGCCACGGCUAACUACGUGCCAGCAGCCGCGGUAAUCUGAGCGGGCUGGCAAGGC
rnacentral:rRNA from 1 species